rnacentral:rRNA from 1 species
UUGGAGGGCAAGUCUGGUGCCAGCAGCCGCGGUAAUUCCAGCUCCAAUAGCGUAUAUUAAAGUUGCUGCAGUUAAAAAGCUCGUAGUUGAAUUUCGGGACCAUCAUGUCGGUCGUGCCUCGGUACGUACUGGUAUUGUUGGUUUCUCCCUUCUGACGAACCAUGAUGUCAUUUAUUUGGUGUUGUGGGAAAUCAGGACUGUUACUUUGAAAAAAUUAGAGUGUUUAAAGCAGGCUCACGCUUGAAUACAUUAGCAUGGAAUAAUGAAAUAGGACGUUUGAUUCUAUUUUGUUGGUUUCUAGGAUCGACGUAAUGAUUAAUAGGGAUAGUUGGGGGCAUUAGUAUUCAAUUGUCAGAGGUGAAAUUCUUGGAUUUAUUGAAGACUAACUACUGCGAAAGCAUUUGCCAAGGAUGUUUUCAUUAAUCAAGAACGAAAGUUAGGGGAUCGAAGACGAUCAGAUACCGUCGUAGUCUUAACCAUAAACUAUGCCGACUAGGGAUCGGAUGAUGUUAAUUUUUUAAUGACUCAUUCGGCGCCUUACGGGAAAC